UUUUUUUACGUGGCGGCUUGAAACAAAAAAUAUA
rnacentral:sRNA from 1 species